GAUGAAGAACGCAGCGAAAUGCGAUAAGUAGUGUGAAUUGCAGAAUUCAGUGAAUCAUCGAAUCUUUGAACGCACAUUGCGGCCAUAGGUAUUCCUUUGGCCAUGCCUGUUCGAGCGUCAUUUACACCCUCAAGCCUAGCUUGGUGUUGGGCGUCUGUCCCGCCGUUCUCGCGCGCGGACUCGCCUCAAAGUCAUUGGCGGCGGUCGUGCCGGCCCCCUCGCGCAGCACAUUUGCGCUUCUCGGAGGCCCGGCGGAUCCGCGCUCCAGCAAGACCUUUCACGACUUGACCUCGGAUCAGGUAGGGAUACCCGCUGAACUUAAGCAUAUCAAUAAGCGGAGA
rnacentral:misc_RNA from 1 species